CUAGGUGUCGCUGCUGUAACGUCAACAUCGAUCAGCUGUGAGGGAAAUCUGUGGCCAGUAUGUCACCAUAUCAGCUCUACCAGGCCACCUUUGAUUGAUGUAGCCAGAUUUUCUCACCCGUAACGUUACCUACCGGCAUUGCUGCACCCGUCCUGCUUUUGUUGUUUUGCGUGUAUGUAACGUGAGACAGAAUAACAGACACCAAAUGGCGUUAGUGUGAGAUGUGGGUGUGGCCAGGGGUGAACAUUUCACACAAUAUUUUGAAGAGGUGGAAUGGAGAAGGAAGGACCAGGGGUGGACAGGGCAGGGUGCGUGGGAGGGGCGGCCAAGACUGACGCUCCCACCGACAGCCCAGGACGGAGGCUACACCAGCAGGUCAUGCAGAAGUUAAACCAGGCCUGUGAGGGGCCAACAGGCCAGGCCAUUGCCAGUAAACUGCAGAAGACUGGCCACCUGGUACAGACCACCAUGGAGUGGAUGAGAACCAUCCCCACGCGAGACUGUGACAUCCUCAUGACCUUCCCCAACAACACGGGCGACCACACCCUCAUGUGGCUCCUGUCCCGCCUGCGAUCCCGCAUGCCGGCGCUCGGCGUACACGUCCGCUACCUGCCGCAUCUCAAGGUCUGGGGGUUCUACAUGACCGCAACGUACGACAAUUUGUUGAGGUAUGCAGAAGAGCUGGGUCUGAAGAAGACAGUGAAACCUGAGUUUGGAGGAGGGAAGAAACACUUCCUGUACGAGGAGAAGGAGAGUUUUGAUGGUGUGGAGGAUGAGAUGACCUUCUUCUCAUCUCAGGAGAGACAGUCUAUAGUAAAGUACAUGCUGGACAACUUGAGAGCUGUAGCGGGUGACAAGCUCAAGAGAUAUGUGUUCUUUGAGGGACAACCAAUCAUUCCCAAGUGUCUGUCCAAAGGCAUGAUAAAGCAGAUCCUGCCCCUCCACAGAAGUGAGGACUUGGAGACGCUGAAGAAGACCUGGGUUCACGCUCUCUUCAAACCUCAGCCUUUAGACUACAUCUGUGACUACUUUGGAGUGAAGAUUGCCAUGUACUGUGCCUGGCUGGGAUACUACACAUGGGCACUCAUCUUCCCAGCAUUCUUUGGGCUGGUCAUGUGGUUCUGGGCUGGCAGUGAUGAGAAGCGAGACGGUGUAGUGUUCCAUGUGUUUGCUAUGUUCAACGUGAUCUGGGCCACCCUGUACUUGGAAGGCUGGAAGAGAAGGUCAGCCGUCCACGCCUACAAGUGGGGAACUCUGGACAUGCCUUCCUCCUUACUACAGGAGCCACGCCCACUCUUCAAGGGAGAUGUUGUGAAAGGAAGCUUGACUAGCAGCGAGGUGACAGGCCGUCCUGAGAUCACCUACCCGUCCUGGAAGAGAAACCUGUUCUACUGUUUUGUGAGUGUCCCCGCGGUGGUGCUGUGUCUGCUGGUGGUGUUCUGCAGCAUGCUGGCCUGCUUUGAGCUGCAGGAGGUGGUGAACCAGGGAGAGGACGUCUCGGCUGUCACCAGGUUCCUCCCCAAGGUGCUGCUGUCUCUGGUCGUCAUGGUGAUGGAUGAGGUCUACAAGAGGAUAGCCAUUUGGCUCAACGACAAAGAAAACUACCGGUUACAGAGCACAUAUGAGAAUCAUCUCAUUAUCAAGUUAGUCUUGUUCCAGUUUGUGAAUUCUUUCCUGUCCCUGUUCUACAUCGGUUUCUACUUACAAGAUAUGACCAGGUUGGAGGAGCAACUGGCUGCCCUGCUGAUCACCAGACAGGUGGUGGGGAACUUUAAGGAGGCCCUUGUUCCUUACCUGUGGGGGAAGGGCAUGCUCUUCAAGAUGGCGCACUCCAAGAUGAAGGAAAGGGCCAGUGGGGAAUUCCAAGCCUCUGAGAGCACUGAAAGCACCUUGACUGAGGGAUCCACUGAAGAAGAGAACACCGAAUCAUCAACGUCAGAAAAAGCAGAAGAACCAGAGGGGGAGGAGGAGACAGAGGAUGGGAAUGAUGAUGAAACAGAAGAAGAGAUAAUAGACGAGUCCCCAGAUGCAGUUAAGCAUGGGAAGGGGUUUACUCAGGCUGAGGUGGAAAGCUGUAUGCAGCCUUAUAUGGAUACAUUUGAAGACUACCUGGAGAUGUUUAUCCAGUUUGGGUACGUGGUGCUGUUCUCCCCUGCCUUCCCCUGCGCAGCCAUGUGUGCUCUGCUCAACAACGUCAUCGAGAUCAGGUCAGACGCCUUCAAACUCUGCACUAGUCAACGGCCAUUCGGGCAGCGGGUCGAGAACAUUGGGAUGUGGCAGGAUGUGAUGGAGGUUAUGGGGAUGCUGGCUGUUAUUGUGAACUGUGCCCUGCUUGUGAUGUCAGGACAGAUGCAGCACAUGUUCCCCGGUCUCAGCACCACACAACUCAUCAUCAUGGCUGUGGUUGUGGAGCAUGCCCUGAUUGCCCUGAAGUUCAUCCUGAGUUACGCCAUCCCAGACAUCCCUGAGUGGGUGGAGAAGGAGAUGGCAAAGGUGGAAUUCAAGAGAAGACAAGCACACAAGAAAUUGGAAUUCUUGAGACGACAGAAUUCCCUCAUCGCUGAAGACAAAGCCAGCCCAGACAAAAGUCAGGACAAGGAGAAAACAAAAUCCAGCUCCAAGACACCGUCAACACAGUCUACAGAACAGAAGAAAGAACAAAAGGUUAAACAAGACAAAUCAAAAGGCAGCGGACACAGUGAGAGAAAAGAGGGUAGUGUGAGUAUCAGUGCAAUGCCAGAAAAGCAGCAGAAAGUAGAGUAAAUCCUCAGCAGAGGUAAAUAUUAUUUAUUCUUUAUGGCAAGUAAAAUGUACAAUCAUGUAGAAUUGUCUAGUGUGUAGUGUACAGUGCUGUCUGUGAGUGAAAAGCCCCUGUCACACAUUCAGAACCUUCCCCCAAACACCAGUCGACCAAGGCUGAAGUUUGGGAGCAGUCUGACCAGAUUUAGGUCAUACUUACCUUUCUAUACAAAUCGAAUUUGGGUCACAUGUGUGUCAAAUUUGACUGCCAACCAUGCCCCAACCUAUGUCUGAACACCACCUAACCGUGGCUGAACCUCCCAUCCAAUCUCGAAUGUUUCAAACAUCUUGAAACAUCUGGCUGGCGCAGCCGACCUUGCUCUGACCUACUCCUAACCAUGGUUGGGGGGAGUUUGGCUAGUGUUCGGGAGGACAUGUUCUGCUAUAUGUGACAUGGGCUUAACUUACAUACAUUAAGUAGAAGCUAGCGCUGUAAAUAUGCUCUGCAAUCAUGCCAAAAGUUGUAGCGAGUGUAGAUCAGGUCUGGCUAAUUUGUCAAUUGUGUGAGACGUAAUUUGAAUACUCUUUAGACAUCCCCUACUGUGGGAAGAUCUAUGCAUGUCAUUUUAACUUGUUUACUGUUAGGUGUUGGCAGAAAUAGAGGCAUAGGUACUAGGUAGUUAUGAUUUUAUGUGGCUGUCAAAUGUAAGAGGCAUCAUUUCAAAGUGACGCAAUAAAUGUACAAUUAAAGCAAUAAUUACAACGUACAGUAGUCUAGACUUUAUAUGCUGUUGACCACAGAUAGUUUUCAAUGACAUAAUAAAGAUUUAGGAAGCCAUAUGCAAUUUAAGAAAUCAUUCCCUAGCCCAAAUCAACCAUCAUGGUGAAUUUUCCAAAAUCUACAAAAGUGAUAUAUCUUGGCAUCUACUUGGUACUGUAGCUUGUAGUCAAUUGGAAAGGUUAUAUCAGAUAUUUUAUAGCAUUUAUUUUCUAGCUUGAGUGUAUAAUGUGGCCCAAAUAAGCCCAAUCGGGUCUAUACUUCACAGAUGUUUUUAAUAAAUAUUUGAUAAGUGUGAAUGAAAUAAAAGUGAAGAGUUGGCUCACUGUGAGACGGUCACAACUGAGUAAAAUUCCUUACCUGUUGUUACAACUCUACAAGACAUUCGUUUUACAUACCUCUCAGUUCACUUUUUAGGGCAGCUGUAUAUUUUCGUCCAACCUUUGCACACUUAGUAUAGUGAAACUUUUUCAGUUACUUUGAAACUGUAAAUUGUAUGCAUACGACAGUAUGUGAAAUUCCAAUUUCCCUAUACUACAUUUAUGUCAAUUUAUACACCAAUCAAUGUGAAACAUGGGAAUUCCCACUGUCCUAUUAUCAUAGAUAUUGUUGUACAGAACCCAACUUUGAGACAAAAGACUAACCAUUUCCAGGGCAUUUAGCUACUGGCACUAGGUAUAAAUAAGGUGAGAAAUAUUGUAUUGAUUUACUAUCUAUUUACUAUUUAUAUUAAGAUAGUGAGCAAGUCAUCAACAACUUUAUUAUGAUAAUUUAGCAUUAUGACACAAAUAGUUGUUUUGUGAAGAUUUUAGUGCUCAAUGAGUUCCUUCAGGUUUAGUGCAGGGUAAGUUGAGACUUUGUCUGAUUUUUGUGGAAAUAAGGGAGCUUGAUCUUACAGAUAUAUAGUGGAAAAUAUAUUUUACUGUUAACUUAAUAUGGUAUGGUUAAAAGAAUAUUUCACCUUGUGAUGUAUUUUUUUAAUUUCUAAAAUUCAAUUGGUUGGUGCAUGGUAUAAAAUUCUGUAAAAGCAGAAAACAUACGCAAUGGUAUUGUCUUAAAACAAUACUAUUUAAUGAAUGGAAAUUAUCAUAUUUCUACAUGUGUAGCUAGUUCAAUACUUACAAGUGCAACGGGUACACAAAACACGAAUCUUCUGUUACAGUGGUGUAUUCAUAGCAAUAUUAAUAUAAUAUUUCUGGCAUAGCUGGUCAGGUCUGUAGUUAGCCAAUUUCAAGUUUUGAUCAUUUUGUUUCCUCUACAGUCA